rnacentral:tRNA from 1 species
GAGUAGCCCAACGGAUUAGAGCAUCUGACUACGGAUCAGAAGGUUGCAGGUUCGAAUCCUGUCUCGC